rnacentral:rRNA from 1 species
GACGAACGCUGGCUGCGUGCUUAACACAUGCAAGUCGAACGCUGAAGCCCGAAGCUCGCUUCGGGUGGAUGAGUGGCGAACGGGUGAGUAACACGUGAGUAACCUGCCCCUGAUUUCGGGAUAAGCCUGGGAAACUGGGUCUAAUACCGGAUACGACCACCUGACGCAUGUCGGGUGGUGGAAAGUUUUUCGAUCGGGGAUGGGCUCGCGGCCUAUCAGCUUGUUGGUGGGGUAAUGGCCUACCAAGGCGACGACGGGUAGCCGGCCUGAACGGGCGACCGGCCACACUGGGACUGAGACACGGCCCAGACUCCUACGGGAGGCAGCAGUGGGGAAUAUUGCAUAAUGGGGGAAACCCUGAUGCAGCGACGCAGCGUGCGGGAUGACGGCCUUCGGGUUGUAAACUCCUGUCCUGAGGGAAGAAAUUUUUGACUGUACCUCAGAAGAAAGCACCGGCUAAUUCUGUGCUAGCAGCCGCCGCAG